ACGUUGGAUACUGGAGCGGGGAAGGAUUUCGUGCCAACGGCACUCGUACACGAGUUGUUCGGAUACUGAGCACAACGUUACACCGUUUUGUUAGGAAAGUGAAGGUGCGUCGGCGGCGUGCGUUUUUUUUUUGGUUUGUUUUUUUUUUUUAAAAAAAAAAAAAAAAAAGGCGCCCCCCCCUGGGCCUUUUUGAAAAGGGGGAAAAAA
rnacentral:rRNA from 1 species